AUAUAUAAUGAAUUUGUCUACAGGAGAGGUUGAGGAAGGAGAAUCACAAGUUCAAGGCCAGCCUGGGUAACUUAAACCUUGUCUCUAAAUAAAAAUUUAAAAGGGCUUGGGGUGUAGGUUGAUUGUAGAAUGUCUGCCUAGUGUAUGCAAGUCCUGGGUUAAAUCCCUCAUGCCCCAAAAUUAAUAAUAAGAAAAAGAAUAAACUUGUACAAACUGAGGAUUGCAGUGAUGAGCUCUUCAGUUUGGAAUCUACUGAAUGGGACUCACUCAGUUCUAAAAAGACCUGCCCCAACUAAUUAUAGCCACAGAUAGCAGUGACACUACAUGUCACAUGCAUUUGAUGUAAUGAUGUCAUUUAACCGUCACAGCGAUGUGAAAUGGGCACCCCUGAUCCCUUAGCUAUGAGCCUUACAUAAGAGACAAGAAGAGGAGGCUGUUUGCAGGAGUCCCUCAGCGAGGUAGCAGGAAGUGUCUGCCUCCUGCAACUUUCACCCUGUGCAUUACAGAAACUAUCAGCUAGACACUAGGAAGGUCCUUUGCUGCUCAUCUGACCUGUAAUUUAGAACUAUUUAGACUGGCUGACCUUGUCAUAGUGCCUUUUGUGUGAUGAGCUUGCAAUUUUAUUCCUUCUUUUGAUUGGAGUACCUGUGGUUGAAGACCAUGUGGUCUCCAGCAUGGUCUAGCUCCCACCACUGAUCUGGCCUCACAUGGUCUAGCUCCCAUCACUGGUCUGACCUCAGGGUCAGAACCAAUACCACAGCCUCUGAACAGAAAUCCUGUGGUCUUUGAGCUGGUCCCUGGCCUGGCAACCUUCCCUUGUUUUCCUGCUUGCCCUGCAGGCUCUGGGUUUACUACCCCAGCUUAGACUGAGCUCUAGUUCAUAGGUCCCAAGAGUCCCUUGGCCAGCAGGGACAAAGGGCAAAGGCCAAAGCAGGGCUUGAGAUGUGCUCUUUGCUCCACAUUGGCCCUCCCGUUCGUGGCUGGCUUCACUCCUCUGCUGUGAGCUCUGGGAUGCCAACGACCCCACGCCAGGCUGAAUUCUUCCAUAGGGAUGCUGAAGUCAGGUGGGUAUGCCGAGACGAGUCCCGGGCACAAGCUGCACUCCGCAAGGUGCACAUGUGACUUGAGUCUUUGGCUGUUUCAGGGACAAAUGGCUUUUUAAUUACACAGCCUAGACAGGUCCUUGUGGGCCAGUGGAGAAGGGUACCUCCUGGGGCUGGCUGGCUGCCACCUUGAUUCCCACCCCUUCAAGUGGCCACUUAGAAAAGAGAGGAAUCAUGGGUCAUCAAGCUGAAGGACAGGACGGUCGCACUUUCCAGGUGAGGACAAGUCACACUGCCCAGGGGAGGGGGAAUUGCAGAGCGGGAGACAGAUGGGUGGGGGUACUUGGCAGAUAGCAGAGUAUGGGGGUCUUCAGCCUGUGGGGCAUAAGCUGGGCUCCAAUGGGGAUCCGAGGGGAUUGCGCGGACAUGGGCUCUACAGCCGGCUUGGGUUCAGGACCUGCAUGUUCUCCUGCCCUCUGGCCAUAGGUGAGAUGCCUAAGCUUCAGCUCCGUUAGCUACAGAAUGGAAGUGACAGUGCCCCGACUCUAUCAAAGCACACGAAGAGAUGCCGUCCAUCUUCAGCACUGAGAGAGACUGCUGGCAAGACAGGGAUGAGCUCUUCUGGGACCUGCCCCAUCCCGGGAAACAGCACGGCUCAGUCUCUUCUGUGGAUGGUGGGCAGGAGGAGACCAGUAUGUGGGGAAAGGUCUGGUUGGACAGGCUGAGAGAGCAGAGAGCCUACCUCUUCUGGACCUUGGUGGAUGGCCAGCCAAAGGAAGAGGAAGUAGGGAGGGCCUGGAGGCCAGGGCAUAUGUCUGUAUCUUUCCUCAAUAGGUUACAGAGUUGCAAAGCUCGACAUUGCCUGGGAGUCCGGGAAGUGUCUCCAGCUCUUUGGCCUAGUGCCUGAUCAGAGGCCAAAAUCUCUAAGGGCUGGGGGCUAAGAAAAUAAGACACAUCAGGAGGACAUUUAUAGUACGAACAUUGGGGGGCAACUAGUGACCCCAAGGGCUAGAAGAGCCAGACAGAGCCUGAUCAGCCCAUAAAGCAGCCAAGCCAGCCCUUGUGCAGCAGCGAAUGGAGACCACUGAGGAAAACCCUCCAGCCUAAGGCCAGCUGCUAUGUAUCCGUGACUACCGUUGCCUGCUCAGUGGCCCAGGUUGGUGCCUUCGAGAGGGGAGUGGCCCUUGGAAUGACGCCACAGUGUCUAGCCACAGGAAACUAAGCUGUCUGAAUGACACUAGCGAAAUGGGGGACAAACUAUCCCCAAGUAUAAGUUCAAGUUUGACUACACCCAACUGUGUGCUGCAGGCAGGCGUUUAUACAAAAUAAAAUGCUCUCUUCUUUA